rnacentral:lncRNA from 1 species
UUCGAAUUAUUGCCCGAGGAGGGGCUCACACCUGGUUAGCUAGUUGGUGAGAUAAUAGCUUACCAAGGCUUAAACUCAACCCGAAACACGUUGAUACUCCUCCUUUAACCUCCCGUGCAAACCAUGACCUCCAAACCCGACCCGAAUGUUUCUCCGGUAUACACGACCGUUUGACUUCAUUCCGGUGCCAUUUGGUUCAGUUUUUAUGGCAAGUAAAGAUCCCUAUCAAUGAAUCAUCCACUAACAAUCCAUAAUUAACACCAUUAGAUCGAAUUUAUACUCCAUUAAAGCAUCCUUAUUAUUAUCAAGCACACAAUUGGGUUCUCUAUCAAAACAAGAAAUUGGUUUGUAAAACUUGUACUCGCUGAACUCUUGACACUUUAUACACCAAACCCCAUUGAGAUUUCCUCAUUUCAUCAACCAUGUAUCGCGAAUCAAUCCGAAGAAGUUUAUAGGGCUCGUAUUUUCAAACAAUGAUUUCUCCUUCAAUUCUUAUCCAAAUCAGACUUGUAUUGGGCCCCCAACUUGAUAAUGCAAUCAACAGGUCGUUAGGUGCUUAGAUGGAGCUUGCACAGGAGGACGGGAUCGUUGUGGGACAUGGACUGUUGAGUUCCAUGUUAAACUUAUGAACUUUUAAACUUACGUUUUGGGUUUUGAACUUUAUGCUUCCGCUGAUAACUUGAACUUGUUGAAUUGUUUGACACUAAUUAUAUUGUUUGGUUUGGACUUUUAUUUACUUAAUUAUUUAUGGUUCAAUACGAUUGGUGGCUAGAUUUUGGUCAGUCACGCCUCCUACAGUGAUACUCCGCUUGUGGAAUUUAAGAGUGUGACAUAAGGUUUGUGGGGGUUUGGUAUUGUAGAUAGUAUAAGAGUAAUUUAUUGGUUUUUACAUCAAUCAAAAUCAAUCAAAAUCAAUCAAAAUGUUGUUAAUUGCUAUGAAACAACAUACAUGAAAGUUAUGAGCGAACGAAGUUACUCUUUUCGUUUAGAUGAGAUUGCAAAACUGAAAGUUGAUGGUGUCAUUAAUCACUUUCCCGAUAUAUAUUAAUACCGACCACUGAGUAAUAUUUUGGAUUAUUAAUAUUC